AGGGGGGCCCCAGGGCAAUAAGUACUGCUAAUCCUUAAACUCACGGUUAGACUCCGUGGCUCCCUCG
rnacentral:tRNA from 1 species